rnacentral:rRNA from 1 species
CUAAGAGCAUGCGGUGGAUGCCUUGGCGCCAAGAGCCGAUGAAGGGCGUGGAUGGCUGCGAUAAGCUUCGGGGAGCUGUCAUCAAGCUGUGAUCCGGAGAUUCCCGAAUGGGGAAACCCGUCCGAGCAAUACUCGGACACCACUGGCUGAAUCCAUAGGCCAGUUGGGGGGCACGGAGGGAACUGAAACAUCUAAGUACCUCCAGGAAAAGAGAUCAUUCCCUGAGUAGUGGCGAGCGAAAGGGGAUCAGCCUAAACCUGUUUUGUGUGAUAGCCGGCAGGCGUUGCAAAACAGGGGUUGUAAGGCCUGGCAGGGUCUGCUGCCGAAGACCCGGGGAGUUACCAAUCCAGUGGUUAGCUGAAUGGCCUGGAAAGGCCAGGCAGAGAGAGUGAAACCCUCGUAAGCGAAAACGACUGGGCUCCCGCCGGUGUCCUUGAGUACCACGGGGCACGCUAAUCCUGUGGGAAGCUGGGAGGUCCACCUCCCAAGGCUAAAUACUCUUGGCGACCGAUAGUGAACAAGUACCGUGAGGGAAAGGUGAAAAGCACCCCGGUGAGGGGAGUUAAAAGAACCUGAAACCGCAUGCUUACAAGCAGUCGAAGGACGAUGCCCUUUGGGCAGGUCUGACGGCGUGCCUCUUGGAGAAUGAGCCGGCGAGUUACUUUCUGUGGCAAGGUUAAGCCAGUUACAGGCGGAGCCGUAGCGAAAGCGAGUCUGAAGAGGGCGUUCAGUCGCAGGAAGUAGACCCGAAACCGGGUGAUCUACCCAUGGCCAGGCUGAAGCGGGAGUAACGUCCCGUGAAGGGCCGAACUCACUAAUAUUGCAAAAUUAGGAGAUGAGCUGUGGGUAGGGGUGAUAUGCCAAACGAACCCGGAGAUAGCUGGUUCUCCCCGAAAUAGCUCUAGGGCUAGCGUCACGUGUUCAGUAUCGGAGGUAGAGCACUGGAUCGGCUAGGGGGCGUAUAGCUUACCGAACCGAACCAAACUCCGAAUGCCGAUACUCUAAACGUGGCAGUCGGACCGCGGGUGAUGAGAUUCGUGGUCAAAAGGGAAACAGCCCAGAUCGCCAGCUAAGGUCCUCAAGUACAGGCUAAGUGGGAAAGGAUGUGGGGUUACUGGGACAGCCAGGAGGUUGGCUUAGAAGCAGCCAUCCUUUAAAGAGUGCGUAAUAGCUCACUGGUCUAGUGAUCCUGCGCCGAAAAUAUACCGGGGCUUAAGCCUGUCACCGAAGCUGCGGGUUCGCUUCCGUUGGGGGGCGAGCGGUAGGGGAGCGUUCUGUAGCGUUGAAGCCUGACCGCGAGGACAGGUGGAGCGAUCAGAAGUGAGAAUGCCGGCAUGAGUAGCGAUAUGCAUGUGAGAACCAUGUACCCCGUAUGUCCAAGGUUUCCGACGGAAGGUUAAUCCGCGUCGGGUUAGUCGGGCCUAAGCCGAGGCCGAAAGGCGUAGGCGAUGGACAACAGGUUAAUAUUCCUGUACCACCUGGAUGGAGCGAUGGGGGGACGCAGAAGGGUAGGUCAGCCUCCGAUUGGUCGUGGAGGUGCUAAGCUCGUAGGGAGUUGAUGGUCCCAGGCAAAUCCGGGACCUGAUCCUGAGGAGUGGGCGGCGCCCGCAAGGGCCACAAGUGACUGAGCCCAGGCUGCCAAGAAAAGCCUCUAAGCGUUGAAGUCUGGGUGCCCGUACCGAGAACCGACACUGGUGGACGGGUAGAACAUACCAAGGGGAUCGGGAGAACCUUCGUUAAGGAAUUAGGCAACAUGGCUCCGUAACUUCGGGAGAAGGAGCGCCGCAGUAGGGUAAGGUAUCUUGCAUGUCCGAGCCCGAGACGGCCGCAGAGAAGUGGCCCUACCGACUGUUUACCAAAAUCACAGGUCUCUGCAAACGCGUAAGCGGAUGUAUAGGGGCUGACGCCUGCCCAGUGCCGGAAGGUUAAAGGGAGGGGUUAGCGCAAGCGAAGCUCUGAACUGAAGCCCCGGUGAACGGCGGCCGUAACUAUAACGGUCCUAAGGUUCAGUCGCGAGCCUUAGUAAAACUGAACUAUAUGCGGGAAACUCCUCAUACAGCUGUGUGGUACUCGCCUGCGCCCGCGCAGACAGUAAAAAUCCACCGGACACGGGGACAAUCCGCAGGGAAGACUUCUAUGGUGCAAGAAGACCAGGAAGAACCCUCAGAGACUUUACGUUCAGUCUCGCCUGACACGAGACUGGAAGCGCAAUGGGUCGUCGGAUUUGUGGAUGGCGAGGGCUGUUUCUACGUAGGCAUCAAUUCGCAUCCCGAGAUGCAAACAGGCUUUCAGGUGCUCCCUGAAUUCACGGUUGUCCAGCACGAACGUGAUGUGCAAAUCCUGUACGCGCUCAAACAGUUCUUCGGCUGUGGCGUUGUUCGCCGCAAUCGUGCUGAACGACUGGCGUACCGGGUGCGCAGCGUGUCACAUCUCCGGGAAAGGAUCGUGCCUUUCUUCGAACAGCACCCUCUCAAAACCAGGAAACGUCUCGACUUCCUCAAGUUCAGGCGCAUCUUGCUCCUCAUGGAGCGGGGAGCGCACCUGACACCCGAGGGGAUCGAACAAAUCCGGACAAUUGCCUCCCAGAUGAACACAGGACGAGAAAGAUAAAGUCCGGCUCCCCUGGAAACAGGGUGAGAACUACCGAGCGAAAUUCCUUGUCGGGUAAGUUCCGACCCGCACGAAUGGCGUAACGAGUGGGGCACUGUCUCGACGAAGGACCCGGUGAAAUUGAAAUAGGCGUGAAGAUGCGUCUUACCCGCAGCAGGACAAAAAGACCCCGUGGAGCUUUACUGCAGCCUGGCAUUGUGUUAGGGCUGAGUCUGUGUAGGAUAGCUGGGAGACUG